AACUAGCAUAUACACUUGUACCCUAGUCCUUCUGCACAUGUCAGUACCUUGAGUUAGUGUGGAAAUACUAAGUCGCUUAUCAGUAUCAUUUUACAAAAAAAAUUUCUUUUUUCGGUUUUUUGCUAAGCUUAUACAUGUAGAUUGAGCGAUUCAACAUUGUGACUCCCACUUUUACUGCAAUUUUUAUUUUAUUUUUUUUGCAUUAUUAUCUAUUUUAAAGAAAAUUAUCAGUAAUGAGUCAUGAUUUAGGUCAAUCAGGCAAUUUUUCUGCUAACUGCUGGUAAGACCGGUAAGAGUACUGGGACCAUACACAAGAGCUUUGGCAAGCCUUGUUUGCGAACUCUGCUGACCGACGGGAUACUACCAGGAAGCAGACUUCAAACAUAAGCAUAAUGGGUUGCUGCGGACUAGCAAUGCUGGACACUGCAAUGGAGAAGCUAAGCUUGCUGAAGAAGCCUUAACGGUGUUCAAAAAAAAUGGGGGAGUUUAAAUAUCGACCGGAAAGGCUACUUAUAAUGGUGUUAUUUUGAUUUUUUGUGAGAAAGAGGAAAUGGAUUUGGCUAGUGAGUUUAAUGAAAGAAUGAGUGUCAAUGUGUAAAUCGUAAGAAUGUGUUAACUUAUACUUAUACUUCGAUGAUUAAGGGGUAUUGUAAUUUGUAAUGCAGAUCAGUUAAAAAAAUGCGCGUCAAUUGUUUAAGGUUAUGAAAAGUCAUGAAUGUUACCUGAAUGUCGUUGCUUAUGCUGCAUUGCUGGAUGCGGUUUGUUAGACUGGGGAUUUCGACAGAGCAUUGGAGUUGCUAGGUGAGAUGGAAAAUGAAGGUAAAGAUUUCGGGCCUAAUGUCAUUACAUACACUUCUGUGAUACAGAGUUUUUGUGAGCAAAGUAGGGCAAGUGAGGCGGUCAGACUUUCUGAACGAAUGGGUAGCCAAGGUUGUCCUGCAUAUCGUAUUACAGUUAGUACUUUGAUCAAAUGUCUAUGCAAUGACGGCCUUAUAGACUUGCUUAUAAGCUGAUUGACAAAGUGGGUGCAGAUGGAAGCGUUACACUUGAAGGGUGUUACAGUUAUCUACCUCUGGCUUUAUUGCAAAUUACGAAUAUGAAAGAAGCAGAGAAACUCUUCAAGCAGACGCUGGCAAGUGGAAUCAGGCCAGUCGGGUUGGCAUACAUUUCUUUUAUUAAGCAACUUUGUUUACAGUAAAGGUUCUUGAAGCAUUGGACUGGUACAGUGAGAUGCAAAAGAAAGAUUUCCUCAACACAUGUUGAUUCAGAUAUUUAUUCGAUUCUUUUGAUUGAGUUUUUCAAAAAGGUAAUAUAGCUGCAAAUGUAGUUAAUGUAAUGGUUGAGAAAAGGAUCCAGUUUAAAGCUCCUUAUCUUGAUAAUGUAGCUGUGCUCCUCAGUAGAAUUGGUGAAAAGGAGCUUGCUCAGCGUUUGAUGAGUUUGAAGUGAAACCGAUGUGGAGCUUUAUGAAGUCUUUUGUAGUCCGAUACAUAUUUUCUUCUUCA